rnacentral:rRNA from 1 species
GACGAACGCUGGCGGCGUGCUUAACACAUGCAAGUCGAACGAUGAGGCUGGAGCUUGCUCCGGUGGAUUAGUGGCGAACGGGUGAGUAACACGUGAGCAAUCUGCCCUUGACUCUGGGAUAACUGCGGGAAACUGUAGCUAAUACCGGAUACGAGGCUUGGAGGCAUCUCCAGGUCUGGAAAGAAUUUCGGUCAAGGAUGAGCUCGCGGCCUAUCAGCUAGUUGGUGAGGUAAGGGCUCACCAAGGCGACGACGGGUAGCCGGCCUGAGAGGGUGACCGGCCACACUGGGACUGAGACACGGCCCAGACUCCUACGGGAGGCAGCAGUGGGGAAUAUUGCACAAUGGGCGAAAGCCUGAUGCAGCAACGCCGCGUGAGGGAUGAAGGCCUUCGGGUUGUAAACCUCUUUUAGUAGGGAAGAAGCGAAGGUGACGGUACCUACAGAAAAAGCACCGGCUAACUACGUGCCAGCCGCCGCUGUAA